rnacentral:rRNA from 1 species
GACGUAGGGCGCGAGCGUUGUCCGGAAUUACUGGGCGUAAAGAGCUCGUAGGUGGUUUGUCGCGUUGUUCGUGAAAACUCACAGCUCAACUGUGGGCGUGCGGGCGAUACGGGCAGACUGGAGUACUGCAGGGGAGACUGGAAUUCCUGGUGUAGCGGUGGAAUGCGCAGAUAUCAGGAGGAACACCGGUGGCGAAGGCGGGUCUCUGGGCAGUAACUGACGCUGAGGAGCGAAAGCGUGGGGAGCGAACAGG